AAGGGGCAGUAAUGCAUGGAUAACCUACCCUGGGGAUGGGCAUAGCUGUUCUAACGGACAGGUAAUACCCAGCGAUGUGACGUGGUCGCAUGAUCGUGUCACGAAAUGAGUUUCGCCUCGGGAGGGGUCCAUGUGCUAUUAGCUAGUUGGUGAGGUAACGGCUCACCAAGGCAAAGAUGGCUAGCGGGUGUGAGAGCACGACCCGCGCCACUGGCACUGAGACACUGGCCAGACACCUACGGGUGGCUGCAGUCGAGGAUCUUCGGCAAUGAGCGCAAGCUUGACCGAGCGACGCCGCGUGGACGACGAAGGCCUUCGGGUUGUAAAGUCCGAAAGUGGAGAGGAAAGCCGAAAGGUUUGACUGACCCACAGUAAGCACGGGCUAAGUUCGUGCCAGCAGCCGCGGUAAGACGAACCGUGCGAACGUUGUUCGGAAUCACUGGGCUUAAAGGGCGCGUAGGCGGGCCAUCAAGUCAGAGGUGAAAUCCUCCAGCUCAACUGGAGAACUGCCCCUGAUACUGGUGGUCUCGAGGGAGGUAGGGGCGUGCGGAACUAUAGGUGGAGCGGUGAAAUGCGUU
rnacentral:rRNA from 1 species